GCGGCGGUCGCUCGGCAACGGGGCAGCCGCGCUGGGCCGCACUAUUCAGCGGCUGGGCAGGAUCCCAACAGCGGCACUCCGGAUCCUCUGACGAUGAAAAAGGUAAAAUAGAGCAUAUUUCUCCUCACAAUUCACAUGUACAUCAGUCUGUUUGGACAGUGAGAGCUGAGCACAAACCAAAAAACCAUGUCUGCUUGCACAUCAGAGGGUCUAAACAUGAUGCACCUCUGGAGAAGCACUCUGUAAAGUUUCCUGGGAACAGCAAAUGAGUGGAAAAGGUUUCCCAGCUUUCCCUGUCUGUCCCACUGGGCUGACAUCUGCUGUGAGUAAAACAAUGGUUUGCACAGCAUUGACUCUCCAGACUCCUGGGCCUAUUUUGGAAAAAGCACCACACUCCAAAGUACAUCCAGAAGCAAAGCUCUCUCAAUUACAUAAAUGCAAGAAAGAGUGCUGGCUUUCAGGGGAAGAUGCUGCAAUAUGAAUGGAAUAAUAAAAUACUCCUUCAGCCAAAGGAAGAGAGAGAAGGACUUGGCGUCCCACAGAGAUGAUGCAGCGUUGUCAGUGUGGUUUCUUCAGACUACUACAGCGACCAUUGUCUGUCUGCCUCUCAGACCCCCUCUCAACAGUUUGUUUAACCCUUUGAUAUUUCCAACCAAGCUCUGUGGGGAAGCAGAUGUCUUCAAGAAAUGAAAAUCACUACAAGUUUAGUGUGGACUGGGGCAAGGAAGACUGAAGCAUUUGCCAUUUGAGGGGGAAAGGAUGCUGUGUGAGUGUGCUGGAUGAGCAGGACAGAGCCAGUGUGGGGUUAAGCAAAUGCUGCCGCUUGCCUGACUGCUGCUCUGGGAAUGUGGGGAGAGGUGAGGGUGGUGUGCAGGGAAAGUGGGAGCAUUGCAACUCAAUGAUCUUCAUGAAGCACAUCUAGAGAUGAGCUGGAGUCAGGAUAGGCAUGGAAUGGGCAGCACUUGCUAGGCAACCCAAAUUCCUUCAUUGUGCUGCUCAGCGGAUAACUUAUUUAAUCCAAUGGCGGGAUUUGCAGUGCACAGGCAAUUGGCCAUAUAUUUUUCCUAGUCAUUGACUUUACUGGUAAACCUGGAGCUCAUCUGUGUUCUGGGCAGCCCUUCAUUAAAUUUGACCUGUCUGGUGAUGGAAAAUUGGAAUAGGUGGUAAAAGAUGUUUUGAGACAAACUGAGGACUGCCGUGCUUUGAGAUAAUGGUACACAGUGCAAAUUUUGGCUCUUUUUUGAAGCUGUAUUCAGCCUGUGCUAGAAGUGAAUGUAACCAUCAAGGGCUUGGAGUGCUUGCCUUGGUAUCUGGGAGCUCAUACCCAGCUAAGCACACAGCCCCUUUACAAUAGUUUUGCCAGAGAAAAAAAAGCCAGGAACAAUAAAGAGUCUCUGCUGACAGGCGAGGGGACUGCCAAGGAACUAUCUUUGGGAAAU